rnacentral:rRNA from 1 species
UACGUAGGGUGCAAGCGUUGUCCGGAAUUAUUGGGCGUAAAGAGCUCGUAGGCGGUUUGUCGCGUCUGCUGUGAAAACGCGAGGCUCAACCUCGCGCCUGCAGUGGGUACGGGCAGACUAGAGUGCGGUAGGGGAGAUUGGAAUUCCUGGUGUAGCGGUGGAAUGCGCAGAUAUCAGGAGGAACACCGAUGGACGAAGGCAGAUCUCUG